rnacentral:lncRNA from 1 species
GUUCUUGGCUGCGCCUCAGUUGCCCCAUGUGUAAACAGAAACUCGGAUAGCCGAGGUCUUUCAGUUGCAGCAUGUGGGAUCUAGUUCCCUGACCAGGCAUCGAACCCAGGCCCCCUGCACUAGGAGCACGGAGUCUUAGCCAGUGGACCCCCAGGAAAGUCCUAAGUUAAGGAGUAACGUGGUUUGGUCAAGUCGUGAAGACAGCACAGCGAGUCGUUAGCACCGUCGA